rnacentral:rRNA from 1 species
UAGGGAAUCUUCCACAAUGGACGCAAGUCUGAUGGAGCAACGCCGCGUGAGUGAAGAAGGUUUUCGGACCGUAAAGCUCUGUUGUUGGUGAAGAAGGAUAGAGGUAGUAACUGGCCUUUAUUUGACGGUAAUCAACCAGAAAGUCACGGCUAACUACGUGCCAGCAGCCGCGGUAAUGCGUAGGUGGCAAGCGUUGUCCGGAUUUAUUGGGCGUAAAGCGAGCGCAGGCGGAAGAAUAAGUCUGAUGUGAAAGCCCUCGGCUUAACCGAGGAAUUGCAUCGGAAACUGUUUUUCUUGAGUGCAGAAGAGGAGAGUAGAACUCCAUGUGUAGCGGUGGAAUGCGUAGAUAUAUGGAAGAAUACCAGUGGCGAAGGCGGCUCUCUGGUCUGCAACUGACGCUGAGGCUCGAAAGCAUGGGUAGCGAACAGGAUUAGAUACCCUGGUAGUCCAUGCCGUAAACGAUGAGUGCUAAGUGUUGGGAGGCUUCCGCCUCUCAGUGCUGCAGCUAACGCAUUAAGCACUCCGCCUGGGGGAGUACGACCGCAAGGUUGAAAC